rnacentral:rRNA from 1 species
CAACCUGGUUNGUUGGGGUCUUUCACUGAUCUCAGUAACGANNCUNANGCGUGANGUUGGACCGGCCUGGGGAGUACGGCCGCAAGGUUGANACUCNAAGGAAUUGACGGGGACCCGCACAAGCGGUGGAUGAUGUGGUUUAAUUCGAUGCAACGCGAAAAACCUUACCCACCUUUGACAUGUACGGAAUCCUCCAGAGAUGGAGGAGUGCUCGAAAGAGAACCGUAACACAGGUGCUGCAUGGCUGUCGUCAGCUCGUGUCGUGAGAUGUUGGGUUAAGUCCCGCAACGAGCGCAACCCUUGUCAUUAGUUGCUACAUUUAGUUGGGCACUCUAAUGAGGCUGCCGGUGACAAACCGGAGGAAGGUGGGGAUGACGUCAAGUCCUCAUGGCCCUUAUAGGUGGGGCUACACACGUCAUACAAUGGCCGGUACAAAGGGCUGCCAACCCGCGAGGGGGAGCUAAUCCCAUAAAACCGGUCGUAGUCCGGAUCGCAGUCUGCAACUCGACUGCGUGAAGUCGGAAUCGCUAGUAAUCGUGGAUCAGCAUUGCCGCGGUGAAUACGUUCCCGGGCCUUGUACACACCGCCCGUCACACCAUGGGAGUUUGUUGCACCAGAAGCAGGUAGCCUAACCGACAAGGGGGGCGCCUUGUCCACGGUGUGGCCCGGAGU